rnacentral:lncRNA from 1 species
UUUUGUCUGGCAGAAUACAAAAAGGUGUCACAGAGUUGGCAUUUGAAUUGGAUAUUGGAAGAUGAAUGGAAAUGCACUAGCUGGAGAUGAAAAGAACAUAAUGGACUGAGGAAAGUUCCUUUCCAAAAAUCAAGAAAGCUGUAAAAGGCACGGGGAUUUUAAUAAUUAUCUUCAGUUGGAAUUACAUCAUUCAUCAACAACUUUUGAAACAUAUACGAAAAUUAUCUAAAAAUCCUCAAAAUACCAAUUCAGAAGGAACAUCUACAGGAACACCUGACGAGGCUGCACCCUUGGCGGGAAGAACACCUGACACGGCUGAAAGCUUGGUGGAAAAAACACCUGAUGAGGCUGCACCCUUGGUGGAGGGAACAUCUGACAAAAUUCAAUGUCUGGGGAAAGCAACAUCUGGAAAGUUUGAACAGUCAGCAGAAGAAUAUGUUAGGCCACGUGUCUCUAUAACAGCUAUUGAACUCUGCAUUAUAGAGUGAAAGCAGUCAUAGAUAAUGUGUGAGCAAAUAGGCAUGAUUGCACUCCAAUAAAACUUUGUAUAAAAAACCAUUUGGUAAGCUGAAUUUGGCCUGUGAUAUAUAGUUUGCUGGCCCUUCACACAGAAGAUAGAUGGAGGGUAAUUACAUAAAAAGAUUUAAAGACAAAGU